UUCGCCCUUAGAGUUUGAUCCUGGCUCAGGACGAACGCCGGCGGCACGCUUAACACAUGCAAGUCGAACGAGAGAAGAGAAGCUUGCUUUUCUGAUCUAGUGGCGGACGGGUGAGUAACACGUGAGCAAUCUGCCUUUCAGAGGGGGAUACCGAUUGGAAACGAUCGUUAAUACCGCAUAACAUAAUUGAACCGCAUGAUUUGAUUAUCAAAGAUUUAUCGCUGAAAGAUGAGCUCGCGUCUGAUUAGCUAGUUGGUAAGGUAACGGCUUACCAAGGCGACGAUCAGUAGCCGGACUGAGAGGUUGAUCGGCCACAUUGGGACUGAGACACGGCCCAGACUCCUACGGGAGGCAGCAGUGGGGAAUAUUGCACAAUGGAGGAAACUCUGAUGCAGCGAUGCCGCGUGAGGGAAGAAGGUUUUAGGAUUGUAAACCUCUGUCUUUGGGGACGAAAAAUGACGGUACCCAAGGAGGAAGCUCCGGCUAACUACGUGCCAGCAGCCGCGGUAAUACGUAGGGAGCGAGCGUUGUCCGGAAUUACUGGGUGUAAAGGGAGCGUAGGCGGGAUCGCAAGUCAGAUGUGAAAACUAUGGGCUUAACCCAUAAACUGCAUUUGAAACUGUGGUUCUUGAGUGAAGUAGAGGUAAGCGGAAUUCCUAGUGUAGCGGUGAAAUGCGUAGAUAUUAGGAGGAACAUCAGUGGCGAAGGCGGCUUACUGGGCUUUAACUGACGCUGAGGCUCGAAAGCGUGGGGAGCAAACAGGAUUAGAUACCCUGGUAGUCCACGCCGUAAACGAUGAUUACUAGGUGUGGGGGGACUGACCCCUUCCGUGCCGCAGCAAACGCAAUAAGUAAUCCACCUGGGGAGUACGACCGCAAGGUUGAAACUCAAAGGAAUUGACGGGGGCCCGCACAAGCAGUGGAGUAUGUGGAUUAAUUCGAAGCAACGCGAAGAACCUUACCAGGUCUUGACAUCGUAUGCAUAGCUCAGAGAUGAGUGAAGUCUCUUCGGAGACAUAUAGACAGGUGGUGCAUGGUUGUCGUCAGCUCGUGUCGUGAGAUGUUGGGUUAAGUCCCGCAACGAGCGCAACCCUUACUGUUAGUUGCUACGCAAGAGCACUCUAGCAGGACUGCCGUUGACAAAACGGAGGAAGGUGGGGAUGACGUCAAAUCAUCAUGCCCCUUAUGACCUGGGCCUCACACGUACUACAAUGGCUGUCAACAGAGGGAUGCAAAGCCGCGAGGUGGAGCGAACCCCUAAAAGCAGUCUUAGUUCGGAUUGUAGGCUGCAACUCGCCUGCAUGAAGUCGGAAUUGCUAGUAAUCGCGGAUCAGCAUGCCGCGGUGAAUACGUUCCCGGGCCUUGCACACACCGCCCGUCA
rnacentral:rRNA from 1 species